rnacentral:rRNA from 1 species
UUUAUGGAGAGUUUGAUCCUGGCUCAGGAUGAACGCUGGCGGCGUGCCUAAUACAUGCAAGUCGAGCGAACGGACGAGAAGCUUGCUUCUCUGAUGUUAGCGGCGGACGGGUGAGUAACACGUGGAUAACCUACCUAUAAGACUGGGAUAACUUCGGGAAACCGGAGCUAAUACCGGAUGAUAUUUUGAACCGCAUGGUUCAAAAGUGAAAGACGGUCUUGCUGUCACUUAUAGAUGGAUCCGCGCUGCAUUAGCUAGUUGGUAAGGUAACGGCUUACCAAGGCAACGAUGCAUAGCCGACCUGAGAGGGUGAUCGGCCACACUGGAACUGAGACACGGUCCAGACUCCUACGGGAGGCAGCAGUAGGGAAUCUUCC